AACUUUCAACAAUGGAUCUCUUGGUUCCGGCAUCGAUGAAGAACGCAGCAAAAUGCGAUAAGUAAUGUGAAUUGCAGAAUUCCGUGAAUCAUCGAAUCUUUGAACGCACAUUGCGCCCUCCGGUAUUCCGGAGGGCAUGCCUGUCCGAGCGUCAUCAA
rnacentral:rRNA from 1 species